UCCUUACAUAAGGAAAUGCAUAAGCCAUAAAGAAAAAAAAAGUACAAAACUCCAAAAAAAUCUAAUGGACUUGGAUCUAAAAAAUCUCAAAAUGCACUAAAUCCAUAAAAUAAUCCAACUACGAAGAUCUCCAGAAAAUCUAGCUCCAAUCGACCAGAGCUGCUGCCGCAAGUACACACUCACCGGAAGCGAGAACCGCCAAGGCUACCAUGGAAGCGAGGAGAAGACAAAGCACAAGAAGGAUUUGUACAAGCUCCAUCGAAAACACAACCUGAGCGGAACCAAGAAAAAAUGGAGGUAAAGCACUAUGGACAAGAAGACUCAUCGAGAGGAAAAAAGGAGAUGUUGGAACCGGUCCGUCCGUCUCCUCCCGUUGUCAUAGUCAGCCACUGCCGUAGACCCUUUUAAGGCCACCGUCCUCUAAUGACGAGCUUACUCAUUGGUCCCAGCAGUUCAACCUCUACCAAAACCAGUUCACAAUAACGAUUCACCACUUUUCCUUCCACCGUCGAUUAAAUCUCGAAAGCUUAAAGGGUCAUAGAGAUGGAUAGGUACCACACAGCCAAGUGGAAACACAAAACCGGGCCUUUAAUUCCGGUCUUUGAAUAUUGUGUAGCCCAAUUUAGAUCAGCACAACUCCCGACUAUGUCGCUCGCCUCUUCCACUUCAUCAUCGUCCUUCCCGAUUCUGCAAAUCGACGUUUCUUGGAGUUAUUACGAGCCAUGUUCCAUCUUCUUUUGGUUUUCCACUUAUAUAAACUCCUUCACCUAAUCUUUGCUCCAACCACAACCAUAUAGAAAAUUCCUCACCUUUUCCCUUUCCGUAUUCUCACUAUAUAAGUCCAUUGCGAUAUUCAGUACCAAAAAAUUCCACACACAAUUUUUACCUCUGCAUCGCCGCCGAUCUCAGUUACUUUAGCAUUCCUCUGCCAUCUCAGCCUGAGUCUUGCGGCAAGGACCUGUGACAAAAACUAAACCACCAGAUGAAAGAAUGAAUAAUAUACCUUCAAAAUCUGAUCAAGGAUAUCCAUAAUCAAAGGGAAGCAGUCCAUCAGAUGCUCAACCAUCCAUGUCUACGAAACCAAUGGACCAAAAGAAAGCACGAUGAAUCACCCAGAAUAUCUGAUGAGAACUCUAACAAAGCUGGCUCCAAGAAUUCUGAAACCGAGGUAAUUAAAGUCUUCUUCCAAACGAGGUGCAUCGGCUGCGUCGAUGAAGAAAUCAAUAAAACAAGAUUUUUUAGAAGACGAUGGAAAGUCUGGUAAAGCUGUUGGAACAUCCACACCCGACAAAGGUGUUAUAUAUUUUGGAGAGGAGGCAGGCAUUUUUGGCUUUGACCAAAGCUUCUCCCGGCAUAUCAACCAAUGGUAGCUUAGCUACUGGUUCGUCCAAAGUUUUGGUGUUAAGCACAAAAUCAUUAGACGUUCAUAGAGUCUAAUGAGAGCUCAAUGGACCUUUUAGGCAUUCUAACUUUUAAUCUUUCGUGCAUCAAAGAUGGUGUUGUAGUUUUAGAUACACAAGCAAUUUUUUUGAUGGAAAGGCUAUCAAGGCUCUUUAUUUUUCUUCUUCUGCAUUUUAAGUGAUGAAACUUUAGUCAAUACAUAUUUUUUAUCGAUUGGAAAAUUGAGAAGUUGAAAGUAAGUUAAUAUGUUUUGGCACCAUUAAUUUUUUUUUGGCAACAUUAGCUUCUUA